GGCUGAAGUAGCAGCGGCAAGACAGGAGUAGGAGUAGUCCAGAGAUAACAAAAGGAUUAAAUUACAUGUCCAUCUUUCUCAUCAUCCUCGAUGUCAUCAUGCAGAACCCAGGUUGGAUCCACAUUGUAGCGAACUGUACUGGAAUUUUUUGCAAACAUGACUGCUGCUCCCAGAGCAUAUUGUAUGGAAUAAAAUGUAAAUGGACUGCCUUCCAAUCAAUCCGACUUAUGGCGACCCUAUGAGUAGGGUUUUCAUGAUCCACUGUAUGGUCAAAGAUGAAGUGGGGGAAACGAAGCCACCACAUCAAUAUCAAUCUGCAUACUGCGCAGCUGGUGCCCAUGAGAUGAAGAGUGGUAGCAAACUACCAUAACUGAAAGUUGGUAUAAAACAAGUCA